AUUGAACGCUGGCGGCAGGCCUAACACAUGCAAGUCGAGCGAGCGUGGGACGGGUGAGUAAUGUAUUGGGAAUGCCCGAUAGAGGGGGAUAACUACUGGAAACGGUAGCUAAUACCGCAUACUAUCGGAUAACCCAUAUGGGAUUAGAUCGUAGGUGAGGUACUGUGUCACCUAGGCGACGAUCCCUAGCUGGUCUGAGAGGAUGAUCAGCCACACUGGGACUGAGACACGGCCCAGACUCCUACGGAGGCAGCAGUGGGGAAUAUUGCACAAUGGGCGCAAGCCUGAUGCAGCCAUGCCGCGUGUAUGAAGAAGGCCUUAGGGUUGUAAAGUACUUUCAGUCGGGAGGCGUUACCGACAGAAGAAGCACCGGCUAACUCCGUGCCAGCCGCCGCGGUAAUUC
rnacentral:rRNA from 1 species